CACUAAGAAGCUAAAAUUAGGGCCUAAGCGUUAGCCUUUUAAGCUAAAGAUUGGUGACUCCCACCCACCCCUAGUGA
rnacentral:tRNA from 1 species